ACCGUGAGGGAAAGCUGCAAAGCACUUUGAAGAGAGAGUUAAAGAGGACGUGAAACCGGUGAGGUGGAAACGGAUAGAGUCGGCGUAUCUUUCAAGUAUUCAUUUACAUUAUUUUUAUGUUGUGACCUCUGAGCUCCAGAUUGGGACAGAGGGAAKCAGCAUAAUUUUYUGUGRUGCAUUUACUUGWUUGGUGCUUGGGGAUGUUUGAGGCAGAUUUGUUUCCGCCGUUUUGAGGCCAGCUUGCUGGUACCCAAACGGUGUUAGCAUUUUUUGUCUUGGRCAUUUGAGUAUGGCUCACGGGCAUUUAUUGGWYMGAUCUGAGUGUAAGUUACGGUCGCAUGCGACACGUGCUUUUCAAUUAGUUCGGUCCAGUUAAUGCUCUCGUACUCYUUCCCCAUGUAAAAGCCGGUCAUCUAUCCGACCCGUCUUGAAACACGGACCAAGGAGUUUAUCGUGUGCGCAAGUUUUUGGGUGUUAAAAACYUAAAAGCGAAAUGAAAGUAAAUGACUCUUUAGAGUCUGAUGUGCGAUCUUGUAAAAAAGUGYAGCAUGGCCCCAUUCUAACUGUUUACAGUAGGGUGGCGGAAGAGCGUACGCGGUGAGACCCGAAAGAUGGUGAACUAUUCCUGAGCAGGACGAAGCCAGAGGAAACUCUGGUGGAAGUCCGAAGCGGUUCUGACGUGCAAAUCGAUCGUCUGACUUGGGUAUAGGGGCGAAAGACUAAUCGAACCAUCUAGUAGCUGGUUCCUUCCGAG
rnacentral:rRNA from 1 species